CGUGACGUAGUUAAGGUUA
rnacentral:miRNA from 1 species